UAUAAAAGCACCCUAGAGAUCUGUAAUAUGCUAACAUUAACUGAAAAGCUUUUCUAGUAAUUAUGUUAUCAGCAUCUUAAUUACAUGACUGAUUUUCAAAAAUGUAAAUAAAUGUCAGAUGUAAUCAUUUAGCAUGAAUAAUGAUGAUUUGAUUUGAAGACUGAGCCUAGGUUUACUUUCUAAUUUCAGAUGCAUGGUAAAGCUUCUUAAAGGCAGCAUUCAAAUUCCUUUUCUGUUGGUCCUUUUAAAAUACAUGGUCAAUAUUGAGUGAAUCCAAAGAAAUGGAAGUACAGUUUCAGUGCAGGCCACAGUGAAGAAAUCUAACAACUGGAAAGAUUUAUAAAUUAUAGACUGGAAGAAGAGUGAGGAGGAACAUAAAAGGAGUGCAUUCAUAGAGAACAACCCCUGGAAGGGGACAAGCAAGAGAAAUUCAGCCCAGUUGGUUGAAUCAGCCUGUGCAGAGGCACAGGGAACUUGGAAGCAGCUUUGGAGUGAGCGAUAAAUCUGGGGAGGAGAAUCAGUCACUUACCUGCACCGUUGCAAAAGAGAAGUGAAACUACUCUAUGUGCUAGGGGAGAAGAAUGCCUCAACAUUGACAACAGGACUCGAGGAGAAAAAGAAGAGAAGAGAGACAACUAAAGAAGGUGAGUUUGGCUGAGAGCCACUCACUAGACUGACAGACUGUAAAGUGGACAUUGCUGACCUGUGUUCGAUUGUGAUUGCUUUAUGUUAAUUUUCUUUGAGUACGAAGUCAUUCCCCUUAGGGAAUAGAAUUAUAAGAACUACAGUGAU